GCCUGGGCUCUGCUGAUUGCACAGAGAUCAUGUGUGCGGAGCAAGGGGCCCAGGGGCUCUCCUGGGGCUCCGGACCCAGCAGAGACACUGCCUUGUUACCAGGGCCCUGCCGGGGGUGAGCUGAGCUCAGCUCCUCGGGGCAACAAAGGAUGUAGGUGGUGACUUCAAGAUCUCCAAGCCAAGGGGCUAUGAAGUUCAGUCUUGGUCAACGUGAUGGAUGCCCUGCCCCAGGCUGGGCCAAGGGCAACCUCACCAGCGCCCAGGAGAAGACUCCGCAGUCGGGGCGCAGGCCGGCAACCGAGCCAUGAACAUAAGCGAACCCUGAGCAUUCCCGCUUCCGGCUGCCGGGUCCCCUGCCAGCCUCCCGGAGAGCGGGGUUUGUGAAAUACCAGCCUUG
rnacentral:lncRNA from 12 species